UGGGGAAUAUUGCGCAAUGGGGGAAACCCUGACGCAGCGACGUCGUGUGAGGGAAGAAGGCCUUCGGGUCGUAAACCUCUGUCAGAAGGGAAGAACCGCCGGGGGUCGAACAGGCCCUUGGUCUGACGGUACCUUCAGAGGAAGCGCCGGCUAACUCCGUGCCAGCAGCCGCGGUAAUACGGAGGGCGCAAGCGUUAAUCGGAAUCACUGGGCGUAAAGCGUGCGUAGGCUGUCUGAUAAGUCAGGCGUGAAAUCCCUCGGCUCAACCGGGGAACUGCGUUUGAUACUGUCGGACUCGAGUCCUGGAGAGGGUGGCGGAAUUCCUGGUGUAGGAGUGAAAUCCGUAGAUAUCAGGAGGAACACCGGUGGCGAAGGCGGCCACCUGGACAGGUACUGACGCUGAGGCACGAAAGCGUGGGGAGCAAACA
rnacentral:rRNA from 1 species